AAUAAUUUGCUGAGUCAAGCGGUGGAAGUGAGGAAACAAAUAGAAAGUGGCUUGCUAAGUUGGGCGGUGGCUGAGUGGAGAAGCGAGGCUUCAAUUCUUUUCUUACCAACCAAACACCAAGAGCAAAACUGAGAGAGACUAAGCCAUUUCUUUUCAUCUCAAGACACAACUAAGAGAUAGGAAAAUAUUUCUGGUUCCUCCUUGUUCCAGUUUCCAACCGAGAGAGUGAGGGAGAGAGUUAGACAUUUGCUAGCUUUAUUUCUCCAGCUUGCAACCUCAAAACCGUGAGCCAAAGUGAGUGAGAGGGAGAGAAAUCCUAGUGGUAUACUUCACCUAAUGGCCUCAAUCGAAUGAGAGUGGAGUAGCUAGAAGAAAGAGUGAGAGUUGGUGCAAUUUUGAGGAACCGAAGCUCAACUUGGACCCGCCUGCACUCGCUGAAUUCUAGAGAAAAGGAGUUCUUGUCCUUAGUUUAGCUACCCGAGAGACAUUAGGAGGAAAAGGAGAGAAAGACCAAAAGAAAGAAACAACAACAACAACUAGGAACUCAUUUCUGGCCUCCUUCAACCGUGAGAACCAGCUACAAAGAAAGAAGGAAUGCAGUCUAUCGAGCUAAGAUAGGAGAGAGAAACCAGAACUUUAUUUUCCUAACUUAGAGCCAUAAGAACCAGAGGUAAACUACUAUCUUUCUCUUCCAUUUCUUCUACGUUUAGCUAGUAGUCUUUUAGAUUGAGUUGGAACCAAGAUAAAGAAAACUUUCUGGAAAACAAAGGUUGUCAAAGCUGGGAAUGUUCGUUUGAAGCUGCAUGUUCUCACUCUAAUGUUUAUAUGAUUGCAAGUCAGAUUUGAGUGUAAAAUGAAGAGAUUAUUAGAGGAAAUUUCAUACUUUUAAACUGCUAGCUGCUGAAACUCCUUCAUCUUGGCCGAGAGAACAAAAGAGAGUAUUCACCAACUUUUCUCUUCAAACCUCGGCUGUAAAUUCUAUAUUGUGAUUCAAAACACCUCAUAGAAUAAAAAUUAUCACCUGGAUAUUAAGUUUGAAUGAGGAAAAUAAAGAAUUUUAUGGAGAAAACUUGUUUUCCAAACUACCUACUUGCUGGAAUUUUUCAACCUCAGCCGAGAGAGAUGAAAGGGAUUUUUUUCUGAUAUUUCUCUAUAGAUUUUGGGCUGUAAACUUUCAUAUUAAGGUUGAUUACACCUUAUAAUAUCAUUAGAUGGUCAUGUAUGUGAAUUUUGGGGUGAAAAUGUGAUUUUUAUGGCUGGAUUCUUGUUUGAAAGACUGUUAGGCUAAUAAACCAUUUACAGUUUAGUCAAUGGAAUUUCUUGGCAUUUGAAUGGAUAUUUUAGUAUAAAAUUUGCUGGAAAUGCUUGAUUUGUACUUCUUGGUGUAUUAUGAGUUUGUUGGUGAGUGAUUGGUGGUUGGAAAUAAAAUCUAAAUAGUUAAAAUGGAAGGAAAAGUUUGCUAUACCAACUAUAGGAAUCAAAGGAGCCUUGUAAGUUAUAUAAGAAGAUAUCCAUUUAUUACUUGGUUUAAUAGGCUCUAUAUAAAUUGUAUACAUAUCUUAAGGUAAUAAACUAGUUAAGCAUGUGGUCUUGGUUAAUAAAAGAUAGAAUUAUGUGACAAGAAAGUACUUUAAGGUUAGCUACUUCUAAACUUACCUUGUUAAACGUUGAUGUUGAGUUUUAGUACGAUAAAUCUAACAGUAUAAAAGUAGUGAAGUGACAUUACUGGAAUUGCUACUUAAACUUCCUUUAUUUUGGAGAUUAAAAGUCGAAGUAACAAGUGAGUGUGAGAAAAUGUACUAGUUGCCUCAUUUAAACAUAGCAAUGACUUAGAUUUCGGGUGGAAUGUAACUUAAGGCUAGAAUACAACACGUAUGUUGAUUAUACUUUAGAACUUCACCAAAUGAGUAGUUAAAUAAUUAUGGCAAUUAUAACUUGUCUCAGGAGACAGCGGUGUGCAAGAAAGCAAUUCUGAGAUUGAAGUGUAACUUUUGAUUAGGGUGAGUGUUUCCGGAUUUAAGUGUUUAAUUGUUUAUGUUUGCUUAAGUGAAAUUAUUUGAUAAAUAUGCUUGUUAUGAAUUAUUGCUAAGUGAUUCAUUGUAAAGUGUAUCUCAAUUGUCCCUCACCUUCUAAGUCGAGGGUGUACUUUAUCGCACUCGGCUUAGUUGAGUUUGAAGGUUGAUAAUUGACUAAAUGUUAUUGUAAGUGUGCAUGAAUAUAAGCCGUAUGUGUACUUUACCGCAUCGGCUGAACUGGGCCCCAAAGGGCUUGGUCGGAUAGGAUGGAAGCUUUGGGUAAUUGUUUCGGUAUACUCGAGUAUUACCCUGAAGUUGGGAGAUUAUUGAACUGAUUACUGGAUGUAGGGGAUUGUUUAUUGUUUUGGAGGACAUAAGGAGGUGAUUUGGCGGAGUGUGCAAUGAUAUUGAAAUGAAUGUACAAUGACACUGAAAUGAGUGUGCAAUGAUAUUGAAAUGACAUUGAAUUACUGAACGAAACUAAGUGCUACGUCUGGAACGGACGGGAGCCACCUCUAGAGUCCGUAUCAGUAUCGUAUCAUUUGAGGUGAUUGAUUACUUUUAUUAAAUUUGAUAUCCUAAAUUGUUAAGUUUGGUGAAUGUUUUAUACUGCUAAUUGGUUGUUGUAUCCUUUUGAAAGUGACUAUACAGUGAAAUGUGCAUUACUUACUUAAUUUUACUGGUUAAGUGUUUAUUGAAUGUUACUUGUUCGGCAAACCUCACUGAGUUUUAGCUCAACCCUUUAGUUUUAUUUUCCUUACAGAAGUUGGUGGUCAGGGAAUGAAUGAGGUAUCUUAGGGAGUUAACGUGAAGACUUUUGUGAUUGUAAAUCCUUUAAUAUCAUAUUAUGGUUGAGGCUAUUAUACUUGGUAUUGUAAAAGAUUUGAGCGUAUGGUUUUGGUUUAUCAAAAUGUUAUCUCUAAAGUUAAUAUAAGUAAGUGAACCCUGGCGAGAGAGGAAUUCAGGCGGUCCGCUAACUUCUAGGGUAUGCCCUAGGAGGAGGUGGGGCCGUCAUACGGAUGACUAAACAUGUGAAGAGAAAUAUAUAGUGAAAUACCUAACCUUAUCUAAUCACCAAAUUCUUGGAACAUCUGAAUCACCCACCAAAUCCUUGGAAUAUCUGAAUCACCAAAUCACAUAUAUAAGAGUCGUCGACAUAUAUAAAAGUCAUUGGAAUAUCUAAAUCACCAAAUCACCGUCGACAUAUAUAAAAGUCAUUGGAAUAUCUAAAUCACCAAAUCCCCGUUGACAUAUAUGAAAGCUAUUGGAGUCACCAACAUCUGAAUCAUCGAAUCCUUGAAAUCUAUCACCAAAUCCUUGCAAUUGCAAUCGAUUACCUAUGAAGACAUAAAGCUUGUUCACGUCCUGUUUUAUACGUAUCAAACUAAAUCUGGAUCUAUUUAAUCUACAAUUUAUACUGAGAUUUGUUAGUGAUAAAUGAAUUUCUGUGACUGCAUAGGGUCAACAAUAAAUUAUCUGGAGUAUUCCAGGGUCAAAUCCAUAGAGACGAAUUAAUUUUCUACUUUAAUUAUUCUAACAAAACUAACAAAAUUUGAACUCAAAGAGUGUUUUAAUCACUACUUGAGAAAUUAAAUAAAUAAUUAAAUCAAACAAGAUAUAAGCGAUAAAAUAGUUGGAAAAUACUAGGAUUUUAAAUUUUGAUCCAGAGUUUGAGUUAAUUAUCUAGUUAAUUUUUUAACAUACAAAAAAAUAUACCAUACGCAACUACCUUAGAUUAUCUUUCAAUACAUCUAAGUUGUCCAAAAAAAAUAAUCAUAGGUAUCUCCAGUCCUAUUCCCUAAUUUUCACCAACUUUUCAUGUGUUUCAGAUCAUGGCUCUAAUGUUAAUUUGGUGAGCAAAGUAACAUUGCAAGUAGUUUAAAGUUUGUCAAUUGAGUGGUCAAUGGGAACCGAUAAGAGGAACUAGAUACAUAAAUUUUCAGAAAAUUAAAACUAGAUGGAAAAAGUGUCUAAAUGCGAAACUAGAUUAAAAGAUGUUGUUGUAUGCUUUUAAAAGAUAAAGGAAAAUAUGAAAAUGACAAAUGCUAUGAGUUACAAACCACUCUCACUCUCAGCCACUCUUUUUAAAUCUAGAAUUAUCAUAUCUUUUUAUCCUUAUCUUUUUACGUAUUUUUAUCACUGAAUUUAUAGAUACCUUAUGGAUUAUUUAAAAUUCUUAGCGAUAUAACUAAAGUUGGGGAAGUGUUAUACACGUCCGUAAUGUUAGAAGCGUCUUUCACCUAACUAUUUCUUGAAAAAUAAGUUGGGCAUACUAAUAGUCUAACAUAACACGAAGUCAUCAAUGCACCUAAUCAAAGGGAUAUAAAGUUGUUAUUUGUCAUACGUAAUAUUUAUAACACUCUCUCACGCUUUUCACUUCUUACCUUUUACAUUUUAGGACAGGAUAUAAGAAUGACUUUUACUUCUCACCUUUCACAUUUAAGAACAUGAUAUAAGAAUGAGUGUCAUAUAAACGUAGUGCCUAAAAAGAGCGAAUGCUUUUCACAACAUAUGUGCACUGACAAAAUGAAACAUAUAAUUGUAUUUAUAUUAACAAAAUGGAAAAUAGAGUUGUACUUAUGCCAACCACCAUGACACUCCGAAAGAGAAAUUGAGCUGACAUUAGAAACCUCUGCAUUUCGUAUUCUGAUAAAAGAUCCAACUCUUUUCAACAAAUCAGUACUUUAACUCAAACUAUAUUGAACUUGUCCCACAUAUUCAACAUAAGUGGUUAUCGAUGUGUUUGUAAUGGAUCAUGCAAAGUGAUUCAACAAUAGAAACGUCCUACAAGAGAGUCCUACUAGCAAAAGGAAAGUAGCCAUGCAAAGUUUACGAGUGUUUUACUCCUAAAAAAGUUCACUUUAUUUAGUUCGAGAAAUCCUCUAUUUUAGAGGGAAAUACUCAAAAAUCUCCACAGAUGACUAAACUUGCGAAGAGAAAUAUAUAGUGAAAUAUCUAGCCUUAUCUUAUCACCAAAUUCUUGGAACAUCUGAAUCACCCAUCAAAUCCUUGGAAUAGCUAAAUCACCAAAUCCUCGUUGACAUAUAUAAGAGCUCAUUGACAUAUAUUAAAGCCGUUGGAAUAUCUGAAUCACCAAAUGUUCCUUGAGAUAUAUAAAAGCCAUUGAAGUCACCAACAUCCGAAUCACCAAAUCCUUGCAAUUGCAAUCGAUUAACUAAGAUAAUAAGAAGCUUGUUAACGUCCUAUUUUAUACCUAUCAAACUAAAUUUGGAUUUUGUUAUGACCGUAAAUUACAUGAUUAGUAGGUAUAGUUGAUUAGUUGUAUUCUGUUAAGAUUUACUAAGCUGGCAAGGCCUAACCGCCAUGUGCUAAUUGUACUGAUUCUUCCUUUAGAUAAAUAACCAACCGAAUCCAGUGAUAGGAACAGAUUUGAUGUGCAACCAGAUAAUAAACUCACUUUUUCUCUCUCUCCUCAGCUUCUUCUCUCCUGUUCUUCCUUCUAACUUUUCUACUCUUCUUGUAAUCUCCUAAUUCAAUCCUUAGAUCCUACACCAAUCACUACAAUUGGUAUCAGAGCUACUGAUCCUCGGAUUCAGUAGCUUGAGCCAUUAUUCUACGCCAUGGCUGACGGUACAAGAAUGAAAAGUAUGGAGGAGCAAUUGCGCAAGAAGGAAGCUCGUAUUCAAGGAAUCUUGGAUACCAUGGUAACGGAUAAAAGGAGUUUGGAGGGCAAGGUUCUGGCAGGGAAUGUAGAAAUCAACAAGAAGUUGGAUGUGUUUAUGGCAGCUAUGAAUACUCAGUUCAACAACUUCACAAAAUCUGCUCAACUAGACAGGGAAAUCUUGACUACUCUCUCAACUCCAGGGGGAAUGGAUGAGCAAGGAGGAAAUGAUAGACUUAGAAAUAGAGAAAUGGGGGAUAAUGUGACACGGGACUAGUUUGGGGGUAGGAAUUAUCCAUUUCUGGGUUACCUAAGAUAGAUUUUCCUUCCUUUCACGGAGAGUGGGUCAGGAAAUGCCGAAAAUUCUUCCAGCUAUUUCGCAUCCCCGAAGAGCAAUGGCUGGACAUAGUUGAGAUUUACAUUGCAGGGAAGGCUGAUAUUUGGUACCAAGGAUUCAAAAGUGGAAAGGGAAAUAUAAGGUGGGGUGAAUUUGUGGAAGGGCUGUGCAAAAGGUUUGGCGAAAUUGGAAAUAUUGAUGCAGUGGAGGAAUUUAACAAACUCCAACUAACCACCACUGUAUUGGCAUACCAAGAGAAAUUUGAAGAAUUGAGAUCAGAGGUAAUGGUUCUAAACCCUACGUUGUCAGAAUCUUAUUAUGUUUCAUGCUUUCUUAGUGGAUUGCCAGAAGAAUUGAGGUCAAUGGUAAAAGCACACGACUCUACUUCCCUAGCCAGAGUUUUCGAAUUGGCAAGAAUACAUGAACAUGCAUUUGAGGCUUAUUUCAAGAAACAUAAAGUGGUACAGAAGAUUAAUAAUCCUCACAAUACUUGGAGUAGUCAAAAAGAAAAUGUCCCUAGUACGUCACAUACACCGGCAGUGAAAAUAGUAGCUCCUAAUAUGAUCAAGAAGAUAGCUCCACAAAAUUUCAAGAAGAUAUCCCUGGCUGAAAUUCAGUAUAGAAGGGAGCAUAAUCUGUGCUUCAAAUGCGGUGAUAAAAUUGUCUAAAAUACUUACAAUGAAUGCAAAAAACUAACAAUGUAUGAAAUUUUUGUAUACUUGUAUAAAUAUUAAUUCUUAUCUAUUCUCACAAAUCUUUCCAAUUGGACAAGCGUGGGUGGGUGAAUUGAUUGAUUUAGAAAUUACUGUGCUGAAACUUCCAGAAACUGCUUUUGAGGUAGAUUCAGAAAGUUUUGUGAUCCUCCAUGGCUGGUGUAUAUACUUUCGUCGUGCCAUCCUUGGUCUGUCUCCGCCUCCGCCUUCGUCCUCGCCCGUCACGUUAUUCCACCUUCCCUGUUUCACUCUCCCCUAGGCAUCGUCAUCUACUUUCUCUCGUCUAUGUCCAGGGGGGCCAAAGGUCCACAGCGUAUCACACCCCAUCUCCGAUGACGACGACAGUUGUGACUUCUACUCCAGCUUCCUCUCCUGGCGAACCAUUGCCCUCCUGGGGGCGGUGGACCUUUACCUUUCUGGUGCUUGUGAUUUUGGCCCAUCUCGCACCACAUUUCAGGAGACGAAGGGCGAAACGGAGGAUGAAAUCAUUUUUUUCUGUGUCUUUGGCAUCACACUCCUACUAUUUGUCAUGCUGUGGAGGGCGUAUUCUGGUGUAGAUGCCUUUUUUUAUUGGAUGGCUUUGACUCUUCAGGCCAUCCAAUAUCUUAUUGAGCACCCUACCGACAUCACUGGAUAUAGGAUUCUUGCUUUCGUAUGUUCGUGCACUGGAGUGUUCUUGUUAUUCAGGAUUUGGUUUGGGCAUCUGUCCACAGGGAGGCUUGUCCGGGUGGCAUACGAGGUACCAGCAGCUCUUUUCAUACCACUGGUCGUCAUUUUUGGAGCUGGUUUUGGAGGUGCUACUGUUGAUGACUAGUAGAUGCUUAUGGAGAUGAUAGCAAGGCUAACAAGUGAUUUUUUUUAGUAAAGAAUUAGAUGAUAGACAUGGUAGAGAUGAGGACAAAACUAACAAGAAUUAAAUGUGUUUUUUUAGAUGGAGUUAUAGACUUUUUUAGAUGGAGUUAUGGACAUUUUUAUGUGGAGUUAUGAUGAUUAAUUAGGGAUAUAACAAAUUAGUAGCUUAGUUGGAAUGAGUUACUAAUAUAACUAGAUUGGUGGAACAUUGUGAAUAAAAAAAAAUUCUUAUCUAAAUUCAUGAUUAUGCUUAAAAGAUGUAGGCAUAUUUUUCUCUAACAUUUAAUUUUCAACAUUGUUUUCAAUAAUUAUAGUUACAACUCUUUUUAGAACCCUUGCAUAUAUACUUGAAAUAUAAGUACUUGUUUCAUUCCAUGUUUAAACAAUGGGACGAACCUGAUUGAAUUUGUUGAAAUCAAGAUGAAAACCAAAAUCUAUUAUAAUUUGUUAAAACUUUUUAUAAGAGUUGCCUCAUGUAAUUUUGUUUUGUUAAUUUUUUAAUUCAUUAGAAAAUAAAAAUUCAAGAAUAAGUGGAACAUUUGAAAUUUGAAGUUAGAUUAUUGUAUUAUAUGAUUUGACAAUCUCCAUAACUUCAAACCCUCCUACUACAUUAUUAUGUUUAUAAAUAUUUUUUUUAAAAAUUUUUGCUAGUAGGGAUUAGAGAAGGGGUGGAAUUUAAGAAGUAGGGAGAGAAAGGAGACUUCUAUCUUAGCCAUUGGAUGGCAUUUAUAAACAUGCUUAUAUUUUCAACCACUUAUUUAAGUUUAAUGUAAUAUUUAAAGUAAUAAAAUUUGGAUAGAAUUUAAUUGCUUUGUUGAAUUUGAUAUAAAUUAGAUUUUGUUAAAUUUGCAAGUAGGUUAGAUUUGGUAGUAAUAUUUGAAAUAUGUAAAAAAAAGUAUUAACUAAUAAGUCUGUCGAUUGUACUAUUUGAACAGAACAUAAUAUUUGAAUACAGUUUAAUUGAUUUGUUGAAUAUGAAAACAAAUUAGAUUAGAAUUUAGAUAAUGAAAAUUAAUAGAUUAGAAUUCAAAUAAUGGAAUUAUACAAAAAUUGAACAUGUUAACCUUAUAUAACAUAACAUCUAUAUCUAUAUCUAUAUGUAUUGUAGGGGAGGUUUUAGUGGAGGCCCCUUGGAUGCCUUCCAAAUCUCCCAUACUUUUUUCUGGUUUUUUAAUUUAUUUUAAUACAUAAAUUCAAUUAAAAAGUUUGAAAUAGUGAUUUACAACUAAUCCUAGGUCAAUUCAAAUUUAAAAUUUAAAUUUUUUCCACUUUAAAUGAGUGUUUAAUAAACCCUUUAUAGUUUAUAUUCAGACUUUAACCCUUUUUUCCUUCCAUAAUUAAAGAAAAUAAAUUUGAAUAAUUUGAUUAGUCCCAUAUUAAAAUCAUUCACCCAACUACAAUUUUAUCAUUUUAACCCAUUUUACUCCUUGAUUACUAAUAAAGAUUGAUUUGUCAAAUCUGAGGAAUAAUAUGAUUAGUCCCAUUUUUUAAUCAUUUACAUAGCAACAUUUUUAGCACUUUCCUUUCGGGUAUGUAUAUAGAUUUGUCAAACAUUCAGAUAUUUGUUUAAACUAUUAUCUUGGAUGGUCAUCACAAAAAAUAGUAGCAUUUCACCAAAGUUAUACCCAAUUAUUUUUCCUUGACGAUUAUAAUUCUAACUUUCAUUUAAAAAAACACUUAAAAAGUGAGGUAAUGAAUUCUAAAUAAUAAAAGCAAUAGAGAGAUAGGAGUAUAGGGUUGGAAAAGGUGAAAGUAAGGUAAUGAAUCCUAAAUAGUAAAAGGAGUAUAAAGAUAGGGGUAUAGGAUUGGGGAUGGUAAAGUCAAGGGAGUUAUAGUUGUGGGUUGGGAUGAAACUAUCAAAAUGGGUGAUUUAUGUAGGUUACAUGGAUAUAGUUUUACAUGGUUUUAAUUAUCUUACCCAUUUAUGGUCCACUACAAAUUUUAUUUAUUUUUCCCAUAUUCAUUAAGCAACAAAAUAAGAUAUCAUUGUAAUCAACAAAAAUAGAAACAUAUUAUAUUAAUAAAUAAAAUUUUACCUAAAAAAAAAUACAGAAGAACCAAAAGUGGUGAGUUUCAAAUUUUGCAAUCUAUAAGAAUCUCAAAAUAAUUUAUGUCUGAAUGCAAGAAAUCAAUUAACACUCAACGAAUUAAUUAAAACUUUGAUGGAAAAGAAGGAGGAAGUAGGAUGAGAUUUAACAAAAAUUUUAAAAAAUGAAAUUUAAAGAAUAGGAAAAGAACGUUAAAUAUGGCUUUGCAAAAAGUAGAAUAUAAUUAUUGUAUUGGUAGUGGUUUAAAUUUGCUUACUUAUAAAUUUAAAUAUACAUCUAAUUUAAUUAGCUCUAAAUAGGUAGUUCCCAUCUCUCAAUUUAAUAGCCACUAAUUAAUGGGUUUAAUUGGGUUAUCCAAUUGAAACUAAUAAAAUUGCAUACCUACACUCAUUUGUUGAAAAUCGAGUUGAAAAAUUGGUCACUAUUUACAACUAUAAAUUGGUGAAAAGAGUAGCAUAAUAAGAGGUAAAUAGGUUAUGAAAUUGGCUAAGAGAUUGUGCAAUUUGAUAGUAGGGUAGAGUGAAUGGAAGGUAUUGUUUGUGGGAGGGAAAAGAGUUAGAGGGAUGUGGGAAGUUUGGGUUAGAAAGGUGAGGAAGUGAGUAAUAAAGAGUAGGGAAAUAUUGAGGGGUAAUGGCGGAAAAAGAGAGAAUGUGGAAGAGGAGUAAUCUAUAUCUAUAUGUAUUGCAGAAGGGGUUUUUAGCAGAAACCCUCUCAAUGGCUUCUAAACUUCUCAUUCUUUUUUCUAGAUUUUUUGUAUUUAUUUUAAUACAUAAAAAGUAGUGGGUUAUAACUAAUCCUAUCACCAAUCAAAUUUAAAAUUUAAAACAUUCCCACUAUCUACUUCAUAAACCGUUACUUUGUUAUUUAUACUUUAAAUCCUUUUUACUCAUUAAUUAAAGACAAAUGCUCAUUCGUAUGCUAUUUUAAUACAAUGUUACAUUUUUAGAAUUAAGAAAAAUUUAUCCCCAAACUAACCCUAUAAUCACCCCUACAAAUGAGCUUUGCAAAUUAUAAUCAAAUUUCACAAAAAUCACAAAUGUGCAACUAAUGUAAAGUGCAAUAUAUAUAUAUAUAUAUAUAUAUAUAUAUAUAUAUAUAUAUAUAUAUAUAUAUAUAUAUAUAAUAAAGUCGUAUUCUCAUUCUUAUCCCUUCAUGUUUUCUCUUUCCUAUGUGGCUUAACGAGACGUCAAGUAGUUUCCUACGUGGCUUGCUCCUUUUUUGUUUGGAUUUAUAUCAAUUCUUAUUCCCUAUAAGAAUUCUUAAUAUUAUAGGAUUCUUAUUUCCUAUCCAAAGUUAUGUACUUUAAGCAACUUAAAUCAAGAUAAACCUACUUUUAAUGUUCUUAUUAAUAUCUCUUUAUAUCCUUAUCAAUUCUUAUUUCUUAUGCCUACAUUACAUAUAGCCUCUAAUAUAUUGAUUUGAAGCAUCAAAUUCAUGGUUAGGUAUUUUCAGUGCAAGCGGUUGGCACAUUAAAGCAUCGAUUUUGGGUUUCCACUCCUCUUGAUUAUCAGGUACAACUUCUUUCAAUACAUUUUUUUUAAAAAAAGG
rnacentral:lncRNA from 1 species